GAAAUGCGAUAAGUAAUGUGAAUUGCAGAAUUCAGUGAAUCAUCGAAUCUUUGAACGCACCUUGCGCUCCUUGGUAUUCCUUGGAGCAUGCCUGUUUGAGUAUCAUGAAAUCUUCAAAGUAAAUCUUUUGUUAACUCAAUUGGUUUCUACUUUGGUAUUGGAGGUCUUUGCAGCUUCACACCUGCUCCUCUUUGUUCAUUAGCUGGAUCUCAGUGUUAUGCUUGGUUCCACUCGGCGUGAUAAGUUAUCUAUCGCUGAGGACACUGUAAAAGGUGGCCAAGGUAAAUGCAGAUGAACCGCUUCUAAUAGUCCAUUGCCUUGUACAAUACUUUUAUGAUCUGAUCUCAACUCAGUUAGUACUACCCGCUGAACUUAAGC
rnacentral:misc_RNA from 1 species